AUUCCACAUGCUGUUAUGCAAAUGGGAUAGACAACAGGUGGAAAUUAUAGGCAAUUAGCCAGACACCCCCAAUAAAGGAGUGGUUCUGCAGUUGGUUAUCACAGACCACUUCUCAGUUCCUAUGCUUCCUGGCUGAUGUUUUGGUCACUUUUGAAUGCUGGUGGUGCUUUCACUCUAGUGGUAGCAUGAGACGGAAUCUACAACCCACACAAGUGGCUCAGGUAGUGCAGCUCAACCAGGAGAACACAUCAAUGCAAGCUGUGGCAAGAAGGUUUGCUGUGUCUGUCAGCGUAGUGUCCAGAGCAUGGAGGCGCUACCAGGAGACAGGCCAGUACAUCAGAAGACAUGGAGGAGGCUGUAGGAG